UUGAAAGGGACGGGCAUUUAGUAAUGAGAUAUGCACAGCAGCAUAGUCAGCUGUGUGGUGCAUUCUCAGCUGUGCCUCAGCAGCCCUGAUGCAGACAUCCAGAAGGAGCACAGCCACUUUAUCCAGAGCAAUCAGCCAUGACUGCCUUUGCACUGUCCAUGCUCUCAGCCCACCACCUCCUCCCCCUGCCAUUGCAGUGGCUAACACUGGAGACGAAGACCAAGACACCACCGCCUUUCUCCAGUACCACUCAAAUCAGCACAGGCAAGGACAAAGGCCUCAAUCCACAACUGCUGAAGAUGGACCCUGGCCACAUGGGAUGGUCAGACACGCCUGCCCAGCUAUCUGCAGGCGAAGAGGCUCAGAAGAGGUUUAGGGGCCUGAAGGACAUCUUGCUUCCAUGUCCAUAUGAGCAGGCUAUUUCUGCUCCAUGAGUCAAUUUUGCCAUAUAAAAUACUUAAUUUCAGCCA
ensembl:lncRNA novel transcript